UACGAAGGGGGCUAGCGUUGUUCGGAAUUACUGGGCGUAAAGCGCACGUAGGCGGCUUUGUAAGUUAGAGGUGAAAGCCCAGGGCUUAACCCUGGAAUUGCCUUUAAGACUGCAUCGCUAGAAUUGUGGAGAGGUAAGUGGAAUUCCGAGUGUAGAGGUGAAAUUCGUAGAUAUUCGGAAGAACACCAGUGGCGAAGGCGACUUACUGGACACAUAUUGACGCUGAGGUGCGAAAGCGUGGGGAGCAAACAGG
rnacentral:rRNA from 1 species